rnacentral:lncRNA from 1 species
CUGAGCGCAGCCAGGGCGCGCGUGAUUAAUGGCCCCGAGGUCCGGGGCAGCUCAGGAACGAGCCCCUUCUUGGCUCGGCCAGUGUGUAAAGGUAUCCGGGAGGAGAGCCAGGCCAUGGCAGUGGGGGCCCCGGGGACCGCGGCGGCGGCGGCGGAGGAGGUGAAGGAGGAAGAGAAGUAGGUGACGCGGACCGGACCGGACCGGACCGGAGAGGCUUAUCUCCUCUGGCCCCGGGGUUGGCACCUCCGCCGGUCCCCCGCGCCAGCAAAGUUUGAAGCCACAGGCGCCGCGCUGCGCCGCGCGCCGGUCCCUCCCCGUGCAGUUCCCUCGGUGGGGUCUGUGCUGCCGCCGCUGCCAGGGCAGGACAAAGGCUCAUUAACACGUGAUGGGACCGCGCUUCAUAAAUGGGACCGGAGCGAGAGGGAGCCAGAGACAGAGCGCGAGCGGAGGGAGAGGCAGGGACCGCGCGAGCUGGGCUAGGCGACCGGCGCCCGGGCUGGCGGAAACGGGCGGCCCCACGCCGGGCCAGGCGGGGCGAGCGGGAGGACCCAGUGAGGAGCCCCGGGAAGGGGCGAGGCUCGCGGGCAGAGGGGGCGCCAGUCCGGAUCGCUGUCGAGGGCGGGCGCUGGAGGCAGGGGACGCCGGCGCGCGCGCUGCGCGGACCGACUGACUUACUGACCGACAGACGGAGGCACACCCCGCUCCACCCCACCCUGCCUCGCCCGCAUCCCCGCGCCGGCGCCGCCUCCCUCUCGCUACUCUCUCGGCCACCCCUUCCUUCUCCACUUCUUUUCCGCCUCCGCCUCUUCUGGGCUCCCGCGGCGCCAGUGCCUUUCCCUGGCCCGGGCGGGGCGCCUCGGCUCCCUGCAGAGCUCUCCGUACAGUCAGGGGGCACGUUUCGUUCUAGCAGAGAAGCAGCCCCUGCGCCGGGUGAGAGGUGCCAAGGGAGCUUCUCCCCCGAGGACCGGGGGAUGCGAAGGGAUUCCCUGCUGCGGGGCUCCUUCUCAGUCACUUUGAGUGCGG